AGCGAGAUGGUGUAAAGGCUGCAUACCAGUUUCAUGGCCUGUUGGAUUAGGUUCGAUUCCUAGUGUCGCUA